GAUGAACGCUGGCGGCGUGCCUAAUACAUGCAAGUCGAGCGAAUGGAUUAAGAGCUUGCUCUUAUGAAGUUAGCGGCGGACGGGUGAGUAACACGUGGGUAACCUGCCCAUAAGACUGGGAUAACUCCGGGAAACCGGGGCUAAUACCGGAUAACAUUUUGAACCGCAUGGUUCGAAAUUGAAAGGCGGCUUCGGCUGUCACUUAUGGAUGGACCCGCGUCGCAUUAGCUAGUUGGUGAGGUAACGGCUCACCAAGGCAACGAUGCGUAGCCGACCUGGGAGGGUGAUCGGCCACACUGGGACUGAGACACGGCCCAGACUCCUACGGGAGGCAGCAGUAGGGAAUCUUCCGCAAUGGACGAAAGUCUGACGGAGCAACGCCGCGUGAGUGACAAAGGCUUUCGGGUCGUAAAACUCUGUUGUUAGGGAAGAACAAGUGCUAGUUGAAUAAGCUGGCACCUUGACGGUACCUAACCAGAAAGCCACGGCUAACUACGUGCCAGCAGCCGCAGUAA
rnacentral:rRNA from 1 species